GCAGAGGAUGACGUCAUGCUUCCCGGAGCAACAGUCACUUCGGCAUUGCUCAAGCUUUGGGCAUGUCUUCCUUCCAAAACAACUCUUUGUCAGGCACAGGGGUGACAUCUCCUGAUUGACUGACUUCUCAUCUUCUACCUGUGAGGGAGAAACCAUAAUCCACAAGUCCUGAGACUAAGACCAUCACAUACAAAGCAUUUAUAUUUCACUGGAGCAAGUUGCAUCUGCCUCUGCUGUUCAAGGGCAACCUCGCCUGUGCUGUGGCUUUUGCUUCACUCUGUCUCUCCUUCCACUCUGGCCUCAUGUCUUCCUGCAUGAAAUAGUGCACGUGCCCUAAGGCAACAACCUCUUAAAGAAAAAAAGAUGGAAAGUUUAGUCUUACCGUUACAACAAGGACAAAUCAGCUGUGACUGACAGCAAACUGAGAGGUCCUGGCCUAAACACAUAGUUAUCUCCUCAUGAAAUGAAGUCAUCUUGGCUGAUGAAGUGGAGCCAGGACAGCGUCAGGGACCUAGGCUCCUUUUAUCUUUCUGGUCUACCCUCCUCUGGCUUCCUUCUGCAAAAUCCCUUAAGCUGCAAGAUGGAGACCAUCUCUACAACCACCGUUCAGGCCUAACCACAUAGUAUACAUCAGCAAUAAUACGAAUGUGGAACCUGCGGACGCCACGGGCCGAGUGUACAAAUCAACGUUAAACAUGUAACGACUUAUUUCCGGCAAUCCUUUGAACAGCCAAGAAAAAGAUGGUUUUAUACCACUCCCAUUUGUUCUAUCUUUGAAUAAAGAAAAUG